AAACAAGAGAGCAAAAGCCAACAAGCUCAUCUUUUUAUUUCUCCUACAUAAUUACACAACAGACAGCAAGUAGACUUUUAGGUUUCUGGUUCUGUACCUGCAAAAUUUCAUUAGGGUGAGCUUAAAAAGCUCAGUAGGGGCAUAUACCUGAUGCGUAAAAUAAGUUAACACACAAAAUUAAACCCUCUUUUUAUCAAAUGUAGUAAAGUAUGUAAGUAGGGAUCGUUCUAGGCCGGGGAUUAGGAGGGAUUGCUAAACCCUUGAAAACUGACUUAAAAACAUAAAAACAAAAUUUAAAACACUAAACUAGACUCAAAGAAUGCAAAACUAUACUUUAAAAUACUUAAACAAACAUAAAACUCAAAACAGCAACCUAAUGACUCAAAACUGCCUAAAAACCACUUUCUGGGCAGUUUUGAGAACCUAACAAGAACUUGGACAAAGUUGGAUGAAAACUUGAAUCAAAACACUUAGAAACACAAAUCAAAACACUUUCUAACUAAUCUAAGACUUCAAAAUAAAGGGGGAUUUGUUUUGGACGAAAAUUGAAAACAAAACAGAAACUUUAAAACAAAACAGAUUGUAAAACGUUUUUGGAUGAAAAUGAUGGAUAAAAGGCUAGUUAGGAGGUUCUUCUCCACACAUGACACACUUGCAAACAAAAUGAUUUUCAGUUGUUCUUUCAAUAAAUUAUGAAACUCAACACCCCAAGUUAAUUAGAUACGCUUAAAUUAACCUUCAAGUUCUCCUUAAGUUAAUGAAUUGGAUGGAAAAGCGCAUACAACAAUUCAAAGCAUUCCUCAAAGGUUCCUUACGUGAUGAGCACAAUAAAGAUACAAUCAAGAAUCAUGAAGCACAAUGAGAACUAUAAGUGUUGACGAGGCAUUCGUUACUAUGAUGAGCAUGAAACUAGUGCCAAGAAUUCAUUCAACGCGAUCGUUUUCAAGCGACCUUCACUACUUGUGAUUAUAAGAUUGUAACUAUUAGGUGAAACUCCCUCAUAAUCUAGCAUCAUAUUCAUGCAUGAAAACUAAGCGUGCACUCUCAAUCAACAUACACAAAUAAGUUAUCAAUCAAGUAGAUGAACGAAUUGAAUCCGCAACUUAUGAAAUAACAACUGAAUGUAAUCAAAUCAUAUUGCAAGCAUGUACAUGGUUUCGAAUCACCCCCCAACUAAGGGGGUUUAGUUCCUCAUUCUUGCAAUACAAAGAUACAUAAAAUUAGACAUCAAAAUCAAAGGAAAGAAAAACACCUAAAAUGCUCCAACUUGGAAAGCAAGUGCAUCAAUGGAUCUCCCUUCCUCCUUGUUGCGGCAUGAAGCUUGUGGACAGAUUUUUGGGUGGAUUUAUGGUGUAGAAUGGAUGGGGAAUGAUAUGGAGGGGUUUAGGGUGAGUGUGGAAGAGUGUUUGAUGGUUGGAAGGUGGUGGAGAACUAGGCAAAGAGGGUGGAAGAAGGUGGAGUGGCUGUUAUGUUUUCUAGGCACUAGAAUGGUGUUUUUUGGGGUGUUUUUGCUUCCUAGGGUGUGUAUGGACGAAUUUCUGUGAUAAAAUGAUGAAUAUGGGGGAUUGUUCUUUGGCCAAGGGGUGUAAACAUGUAUUUAUAGGCCCCAAAAACCUUAGAAAAUCAGGUUAGGUUAAGGAUGAAAUGCAUGGCAAUUUGUGUGUGUGGUGUGCAAUGGUCCAAGGGUGAAAAUGAAGUGAUGAUGCAAAGUGUGAAGGGUAAAAUGGAGUGGUCUUGUAGCUAGGGGGCAUGAAUGAUUGUGUACAUUGCAUAGAGAUGGAAAGGGAGGUGAAAAUGUGUCAAUAAAUGGGUCAAAGGUGCAGCAACAUGUGGUACACAAGGCAUGGGAUUCCAAAUGUGAAUGAUGGAGCAUCAAUUGGUGCAUGUAAUGGAUGUAAAUGUUGUCUAAAAUCUAAUGAGUGAAGGGAACAAGAGGUAUCAAGCAAUUGAGUGUAAUAAUUAAAUGAAUUGAAGCAUGAAAUUAGAAAUUAUGUAGGGGACAAGAGUGAUCAAGCAUGGCAUGGAAUCCAAAGGGAAUUCUAUGUGGUUUGCAUGGCAAGGAAUGCAAGUUGGGGUGACAGAUUUUUGGGCUGUUUUCUUCAUCUUUUGGACCAUAAUUCUUCAUAUUCUUGGCCUCUUUAGUUCUCAAAUUCGUCCAUCCACUUGGCCCAUGCAUUUGCUAUCCAUUCCAAGCCCGAAACAUGCUCCAAAGGCCUCCAAAAUGCAUCUUCUUGCAUACUUUGUACUUAGAGUCUGAAAACACACGAAAAUUACUUUAAACAUUAAAAUAACUAAGGAAACACGACAUAAAUGCACAAGAACAAGCCAACUAAGUCGCAUAAAUAUGCUCCUAUCAAUACCUUCAUUUCUAAAAUAAUAAAGUAUAAUUAUGAUAGCAGAAUUAAAACCAAAAUCAGAAUGGUGCAUAAGUAUGCAAUGCAAAUGCCUUAAUUAUACCCGUUAAUCCACAUAACUAAACACCCAGACCUUGUACGUCCCAUUCCGUACUUAUACCAUUUGAUCCCGAGUGUUUAAAUAUAUGAACUAACCCCCAUCCCUAAACAUCCCCGAACUCCCCUUUUUGUUAGUCAUCUUGCCUAAACUCUUCGUCUCCAGUCCCGAAUUACCCUUAAAGAAUCUGUGCACUGUGGGCUCGCCUGAGACCUGGUACCUACUAAGAGUUUGGCUCAACUACACAAAACUAAUAGUCACCACCUUAGAUUCCCGAAGUUCUUUCCAACAAUCCCACUUUACUCCCACAUCAUGGACCCAAAUUUCAUUUCGAACAUUCAUUAUACUCAAAUAUCCAAUAGAAACAUGUAUAUCAAACUUGUAUAUAUACUUAAGUAAGAAAUAUUUAAAUUCAUAUAUAUAUAUAUAUAUAUAUAUAUAUAGAAGGUUUCCCAGAACCCCCUACCUUGAAUUCGAUUAAUUUUGCUUCUCUGAAGAACCCUUCAAAUCUCUGAAUCCUUCCUUCACAAUCACGUUCUCUAACUCUCAAUUUCUCUACCCCUUUUUGAUUUCUGAUGCUUUCCCACUUCUCUGCAACCCCUUUUAUAGUUUCUCUAAUCCUACUAACUCCUAUCAGAGUCCUGAUAAAAACCUAGCUUCCUAGGUCGUCCACCUCCUGCUUAUAGACCUCUGUGUCUCUUCUCCGUUCACCCUCCGCUGAACACACUCCUUGGUGAAAUAGGAGAUGAACAACUAUCUAUGACACACUCCUUUGAUCAAUCAAAGGUCGACCUAUCACAAGGUGUCCUAAUCUCUAUC
rnacentral:lncRNA from 1 species